UACGUAGGGUACGAGCGUUACUCGGAAUUACUGGGCGUAAAGCGUGCGCAGGCGGUUUUGUAAGCCAGAUGUGAAAUCCCCGGGCUUAACCUGGGAAUGGCAUUUGGGACUGCAAGGCUUGAGUGCGGCAGAGGAGACUGGAAUUCCUGGUGUAGCAGUGAAAUGCGUAGAUAUCAGGAGGAACACCGAUGGCGAAGGCAGGUCUCUGGGCUGACACUGACGCUCAUGCACGAAAGCGUGGGGAGCAAACAGG
rnacentral:rRNA from 1 species